rnacentral:tRNA from 1 species
GGAUUAUGGCUCAGUGGUAGAGAGCGUGUCUAGCGUGCAUGAGGCACUGGGUUCAAUCUUCAGCGCCA